rnacentral:rRNA from 1 species
CCUACGGGUGGCUGCAGUUGGGAAUCUUGGACAAUGGGGGAAACCCUGAUCCAGCCAUGCCGCGUGAGUGAUGAAGGCCUUCGGGUUGUAAAACUCUUUCGACGGGGACGAUAAUGACGGUACCCGUAGAAGAAGCUCCGGCUAACUUCGUGCCAGCAGCCGCGGUAAUACGAAGGGGGCUAGCGUUGUUCGGAAUUACUGGGCGUAAAGCGCGCGCAGGCGGUCUUCCAAGUCAGUGGUGAAAGCCCGGAGCUCAACUCCGGAACUGCCAUUGA